rnacentral:rRNA from 1 species
AGCUAUUGCUAUCGGGAUCCGAUUCAGGCAUGCUAGUCGUACGAGUUCAUACUCGUGGCGUAUAGCUCAGUAACACGUGGUCAAACUACCCUCUGGACUGAGAUACCCUCGGGAAACUGAGGUCGAUCUCGGAUACUGCUUUCACGUUGGAACAACGGAAAGCUGGAAACGGUCCGCCGCCGGAGGACGUGACUGCGGCUGAUUAGGUAGACGGUGGGGUAACGGCCCACCGUGCCAAUAAUCAGUACGGGUUGUGAGAGCAAGAGCCCGGAGACGGAAUCUGAGACAAGAUUCCGGGCCCUACGGGGCGCAGCAGCCGCGAAACCUUUACACUGCACGACAGUGCGAUAAGGGGGUCCCGAGUGCGAGGGCAUACAGUCCUCGCUUUUCGUGACCGUAAGGUGGUCACAGAAUAAGGGCUGGGCAAGACCGGUGCCAGCCGCCGCGGUAAUACCGGCAGCCCGAGUGAUAGCCAAUUUUAUUGGGCCUAAAGCGUCCGUAGCUGGCCGAACAGGUCCGUCGGGAAAUCCACCCGCUUAACGGGUGGGCGUCCGGCGGAAACCAGUCGGCUUGGGGCCGGGAGACCAGAGGGGUACGUCCGGGGUAGGAGUGAAAUCCCGUAAUCCUGGACGGACCACCGGUUGCGAAAGCGCCUCUGGAGAACGGACCCGACAGUGAGGGACGAAAGCUAGGGUCUCGAACCGGAUUAGAUACCCGGGUAGUCCUAGCCGUAAACGAUGCUCGCUAGGUGUGACGCAGGCUACGAGCCUGCGUUGCGCCGUAGGGAAGCCGAGAAGCGAGCCGCCUGGGAAGUACGUCCGCAAGGAUGAAACUUAAAGGAAUUGGCGGGGGAGCACUACAACCGGAGGAGCCUGCGGUUU